rnacentral:rRNA from 1 species
GCGCAGCAGUCGCGAAUACUCCACAAUGCGCGGAAGCGUGAUGGGGCCAUCCCGAGUGCCGUCCGCUGAGGACGGCUUUUCCCCGGGUGUAACACAGCCGGGGGAAUAAGGAGAGGGCAAGCCUGGUGUCAGCCGCCGCGGUAAUACCAGCUCGUCCGAGUGGUGGGGACGAUUAUUGGGCCUAAAGCGUCCGUAGCCGGCUCGGCAUGUCUCCCGUUAAAAUCCAACGGAUCCAAUCGUUGGACUGCGGGA